rnacentral:rRNA from 1 species
AGCUCCGAUAGCGUAUAUUAAAGUUGUUGCAGUUAAAAAGCUCGUAGUUGAACUUCUAGAGAUCGACGUGUCGCCAUACGGUUUGACAUGUUAUCUUUAUCCGCUUUGAUUUAGCAAUACGCACUUUGUUGGGCGAUUGUGUAAUCAAGCAAUUUACUUUGAAAAAUUAGAGUGUUUCAAGCAGGCGAUUUGCUGGAAUACAUUAGCAUGGAAUAAUAGAACACGACCUCUU